rnacentral:rRNA from 1 species
GAUGAACGCUGGCGGCGUGCUUAACACAUGCAAGUCGAACGGUGAACGAGGGAGCUUGCUCCCUCCGGAUCAGUGGCGAACGGGUGAGUAACACGUGAGCAAUCUGCCCUGGACUCUGGGAUAAGCGUUGGAAACGACGUCUAAUACCGGAUACGAGGCGUGGGGGCAUCCCCAACGCCUGGAAAGAACUUCGGUCCAGGAUGAGCUCGCGGCCUAUCAGCUUGUUGGUGAGGUAACGGCUCACCAAGGCGACGACGGGUAGCCGGCCUGAGAGGGGGACCGGCCACACUGGGACUGGGAGACGGCCCAGACUCCUACGGGAGGCAGCAGUGGGGAAUAUUGCACAAUGGGCGCAAGCCUGAUGCAGCAACGCCGCGUGAGGGACGACGGCCUUCGGGUUGUAAACCUCUUUUAGCAGGGAAGAAGCGAAAGUGACGGUACCUGCAGAAAAAGCACCGGCUAACUACGUGCCAGCCGCCGCCGUAACAC